CAUAGCGCCUACGUCCCUCGCCUCGCUUCAUCUCACCACUCUGGCAUUUCAUCAUCUCGCAUCAUCACAAGAAGGAAAUCUGGCGCCACGGUUACUGAGAUGGGAUAAUUCUUCCAACAUGAUGUCUCUGGGGAUGCUGACUUUUUUGCCCAGGUGCAUGCCAUCUACAUCUGUAAAACAACAUUCAUGUGCAUGAAAACCCCAAGGCAGCAGAGAAGCUCUCAGAGAAGGAAAACAUGUGUCUUCUGAUAGAGGAAAUGGGUGGCAUUGAUAAAAUUGAGGCUUUGCAACUUCAUGAGAACCCUCAGGUUGCCCUGACUGCUUUGAACAUUAUCGAGAACCAUUUUUCUGAGGGAGAAGAAAGUGGCACAGUAUUACCAGCCCUGGACCAAGAUCAUGAAUUCUUAAACCGCUUAAAACAAUACCAAGGCCCCAUGACUCCUAAACCAAGGAGCAAACCCUAAUGGGUAACUUCUUUAAGAACCUUCUAUGUCUUGGCAUGGCACAGGGUAGAGGAAGCAUGUGACAUUUUUUGAAAUGGGUGUUUUGCUGAAUCACAGAAGAGUGCAAAGUUUUAUUGCUUAAGGCAAGAAGAGUAGAAAAAGACAAUGCACCUGCCUCACUGAAAUAUAAAUCUUGGCAUAAUGAUUGAAACACUGUGAUGCUGUAUUAGGCUGAUCACCAAACAAGAUGAUCAGGCAACUUGACUCAAUAUUAGACUGCACAAACUGUGAAGGCAACCUGGUGUUCUGGGUGCCCAGACCGAGUCUGUUGCUAAAAAUAAGUCACAAUGUUGGUUGAAAAAAAAAGUCUUGAUUGUAUUCGCAAGCUGGAAUACUCAGGCUGUGAAGUAUAUGAAGGUGGGAAUGA